rnacentral:lncRNA from 1 species
AUAAAAAAGAUCGCAUAGCAUCCGUACAUGCCAUAGGAGAUCCCAUCGAAUAGAUAAAUAAGACUGUGAAAUCCUGAUUUCUCCUAUGAUCGGAUGGCUAUGAGGAUCUAUCCAAUCAGAUUAGUAUACUACUUAGAUUCUAAAUUAAUUACUUAGAUCUAAUCUAAAUAAUUAAAAUUAGAUCAAUAUCAAAUUAUAUGUAGAAAAUUCAUGUCAUAUGAAACC